rnacentral:rRNA from 1 species
GGAUUAGAUACCCUGGUAGUCCACGCCGUAAACGCUGUCUACUAGCUGUGUGUUUUAUUAAUAAGAUGCGUAGCGAAGCUAACGCGCUAAGUAGACCGCCUGGGGAGUACGGCCGCAAGGUUAAAACUCAAAUGAAUUGACGGGGGCCCGCACAAGCGGUGGAGCAUGUGGUUUAAUUCGAUGCAACGCGAAGAACCUUACCAGGACUUGACAUCCAGAGAACUUAGCAGAGAUGCUUUGGUGCCUUCGGGAGCUCUGAGACAGGUGCUGCAUGGCUGUCGUCAGCUCGUGCCG